rnacentral:rRNA from 1 species
UAGUGAGUUUGAUCCUGGCUCAGGAUGAACGCUAGCGGCAGGCCUAAUACAUGCAAGUCGAACGGUCCGCAAGGAUAGUGGCAAACGGGUGCGUAACGCGUAAGCAACCUGCCCCAUACCGGGGGAUAGCCUGGCGAAAGCCGGGGUAAACCCGCAUAGUCCCUUCUUGUUUCAUGACAGGCUGGGUAAACAUUUAUGGGUAUGGGAGGGCUUGCGUCUGAUUAGUUAGUUGGCGGGGUAACGGCCCACCAAGACAGUGAUCAGUAGGGGUUCUGAGAGGAUUGGCCCCACAUGGGUACUGAGAUACGGACCCAACUCCUACGGGAGGCAGCAGUAGGGAAUAUUGGGCAAUGGACGCAAGUCUGAACCAGCCAUGCCGCGUGAAGGAUGAAGGUCCCUCUGGAUUGUAAACUUCUUUUA